UUACGGUCACAUCAUGUUAAAACAGCUGUCCCCGUACGAUCACCGAAGUUAAGAAACGUCGAGCCUAGUCAGUACCUAGAUGGGUGAUCACUUGGGAAUACCAGGUGCUGUAA